UAUGAAUGUUAAAUUUAUAAUCUUAGUAUUAAUAGUUAUGAUCUUUAAAUUAAAAGAAUUUGGCGGUAAUUUAGUCUGUUCAGAGGAAUCUGCCCCGUAAUCGAUGACCCACGAUGAAUUUUACUUUAUCUAGGCUUGUAUAUCUCUGUCAUUGAAUGUCUUAUAAGGGUAUUUUCAUAAAUUAUUAUUGUGGAAGAUGUCAGGUCAGGGUGCAGCGAUGGUAAAGUGGAGGUGGAUUACAUUAAAAGUAUUUAUGGAGAAGUUUAUGGAAAUAACUUUGAAAUUGGAUUUGAGAGUAAGUUUUAUUAGAAAAUAGAGCUGAUUAAGCUCUAAAUUAUG
rnacentral:rRNA from 1 species